rnacentral:rRNA from 1 species
GAAUCAACGCUGGCGGCGUGCCUCAGACAUGCAAGUCGAACGCGAAACCUUCCUUCGGGAGGGGAGUAGAGUGGCGCACGGGUGAGUAACACGUAGGUAAUCUACCUUUGGGUGGGGAAUAACAGCCGGAAACGGCUGCUAAUACCGCAUAAUGCAGCGGCUCGACAUCGAGACAGUUGUUAAAGCGGGGGAUCGUAAGACCUCGCGCCUAAAGAGGAGCCUGCGGCAGAUAGCUAGUUGGUAAGGUAACGGCUUACCAAGGCGACGAUCUGUAGCCGGCCUGAGAGGGCGGUCGGCCACACUGACACUGACAUACGGGUCAGACUCCUACGGGAGGCAGCAGUCGGGAA